GUAGGUGGCAAGCGUUGUCCGGAAUUAUUGGGCGUAAAGCGCGCGCAGGCGGUCCUUUAAGUCUGAUGUGAAAGCCCACGGCUCAACCGUGGAGGGUCAUUGGAAACUGGGGACUUGAGUACAGAAGAGGAAAGCGGAAUUCCAAGUGUAGCGGUGAAAUGCGUAGAGAUUUGGAGGAACACCAGUGGCGAAGGCGGCUUUCUGGUCUGUAACUGACGCUGAGGCGCGAAAGCGUGGGGAGCAAACAGGGAUUAGAUACCCUGGUAGUCCACGCCGUAAACGAUGAGUGCUAAGUGUUAGGGGGUUUCCCGCCCCUUAGUGCUGCAGCUAACGCAUUAAGCACUCCGCCUGGGGAGUACGGCCCGCAAGGCUG
rnacentral:rRNA from 1 species